AGAGAAAAUCUCUUCAUGAGAAUAAAUUGAAGAGACUGCAGGAGAAAGUGGAAGUCUUGGAGGCAAAGAAAGAAGAAUUAGAGACAGAAAACCAGGUGUUAAAUAGACAAAAUGUUCCAUUUGAAGAAUAUACAAGGCUUCAGAAACGACUAAAGGACAUACAGAGAAGACAUAAUGAAUUUCGAAGUCUAAUCUUGGUUCCUAACAUGCCUCCCGCAGCAUCGGUCAAUCCUGCUAACUUCCAGUCCUCAGCUAUAGUUCCUGGAGUGGAACUCUCCUUUCCCCCUCAUCUGCAGAACAGCAUCAAAGAGAACUCUCUCUCCUUCGCAAAAGACUGGAAGAGCUAGAAACUACACAAAGAAAACAACUAGAGGAACUUGGAUCUCCCGGGGAGUGAUGCUGGAAGAAAGGCAAAGCCAGAAACUCAAUAAAGUAUGACGUUUAACGUGUGGCCUCCAGGUGCUUUCUUACUGUUUGCCAAAAUUGAGCUGCCUCAAGACAAGGUACUAGCUAUGCGCUGCACUGCAAGGGCUCCAAGAUUUUAGGAUAAUACUAAGAAAAAUGAAGUAUUCAUAUAUUUAGGACAUGCAUUGAUAAUCUUUUGACAAUGCAAAAAUAAAAGGAACUAGUUAAUU
rnacentral:lncRNA from 1 species